rnacentral:rRNA from 1 species
GAUGAACGCUGGCGGCGUGCCUAAUACAUGCAAGUCGAGCGAACGGACGAGAAGCUUGCUUCUCUGAUGUUAGCGGCGGACGGGUGAGUAACACGUGGAUAACCUACCUAUAAGACUGGGAUAACUUCGGGAAACCGUAGCUAAUACCGGAUAAUAUUUUAAACCGCAUGGUUCAAAAGUGAAAGACGGUCUUGCUGUCACUUAUAGAUGGAUCCGCGCUGCAUUAGCUAGUUGGUAAGGUAACGGCUUACCAAGGCAACGAUGCAUAGCCGACCUGAGAGGGUGAUCGGCCACACUGGAACUGAGACACGGUCCAGACUCCUACGGGAGGCAGCAGUAGGGAAUCUUCCGCAAUGGGCGAAAGCCUGACGGAGCAACGCCGCGUGAGUGAUGAAGGUCUUCGGAUCGUAAAACUCUGUUAUUAGGGAAGAACAUAUGUGUAAGUAACUGUGCACAUCUUGACGGUACCUAAUCAGAAAGCCACGGCUAACUACGUG